rnacentral:tmRNA from 1 species
GGGGCUGUCUUUGGUUUCGACAGAAAUGUUCCGCUAUAAACGGCAAGUCGUAGACAUACGUUAAAUGCACAAAAAAAUAAAUGCAAAAAAUGUAAAAAAUGUAUUAGCUUCAGUAUUCAAGAGAAAUGCUGUAGCCUUUGCCUAAUUUAAUUUAGAGUGAUACAACUUUCUUUAUUACCUUUCCUGUGGGUAAUGUAGAAGGUUCGAUUUUAGCAGGAUAUAUUAUUACUGGUCUUCAAAGUAAUAAUGAAAUUUAGAAGAUUACUAAAAAAGAGUUGUUGACUACUAACUUUUUUAGGACAUUAAUUAGUCAGCUAAACUUGUAGAAAUUUAUAGUAGGGUGUUUUUGGACAGGAGUUCGAUCCUCCUCAGCUCCACCA